rnacentral:lncRNA from 1 species
AUCGGGAACGGAUAAAACCCAUUGAUCACGAAUGAGGGGUUCAGAAAAUCUGUGUUUUUAGAUACGCGGAGGUCGCUGCCCGAAGCAGCUGCCUGCAGAGUUCAGAGCAGCUGCCUCUUGAGGAGUGGAGCUGGGUGGGGAGUGCGGGCGGCAGGGCGGUCUUGCUUUCAGUUUUAAGUGCUUCUUGUUAUUUUCCUUUUAAACAUGCUCACACGUUGCUUUAGUGAAAAUGUACACACAUGCGUGCGCACACACACACACAUGCACGCAGGCCUCUGGCUCCGGUUCUGAGUGAUGCUAAAUGGUUUUCCAAUGUGGGUAGAGCCUGCAAAACAGUCUGCAGCUGGACCGUGCUCUCCCCAGGGGCCAGAGCAUUUGCAAUAGUCAGAAAACGCCUCUGCCUUUGGUCUGCUCCCCCCCCCACCCCCCACCCCGUCACCAACCCCGGUCUGACUCUGACGAUGUCCCCCCCCCACCCCCCGCCGCUUUCCCCCAGCUUAUGUUCUCCUCUUUCCUCAUAAAAAGUUAUUGGAGCUCUCAGAAUAUUAGAACAUGAAUUUUUCUGUGAUAUAAAGAUUUAGCUGAACACUGAUUCUAAAAGGGAUAUGCAUUUUUUAUUUGGAAACUCCCUUGCACCAGGGCAGCACUUCCCAAAGAGGUAGCAUGUGGGAUGUUUGACCAGCCGUGGGAGAUGGAACCACAAGCCAGUCGUGAGAAACCUCCUACCCAGAGUCUCCGGCGCUUUUCUCUAGCUCUUGUUGACACUGAAUGAUACAGACAAAGAAAUGGAUUUCUCUUUUACCUCCGCAAAACCCCUUGCAGGUGCGUCCAACCUCCAAAGCGUUCCCUGAAGCAUCCUCUCUUUUGUCUUGUGGGGCCACAUGUCGGCGUUUUUCUUUUCCACUUCAAAACCAGAGUUGUUCUGUUAUUGCCAAACUGAAGGUACAGGGUAGCAAAAGGACAUGUUUUUCACACCCAGCUCCCGGAAGGGUGGAGGGCCAUCGUGGACCAAGUGCCAGAAGAAUGUGCUUUGUCCCGGGGCAGGGGCUUAGCAGCACCCUCCCGGAGAAACCAGGAGCUUUCUGGGAGGUCCCAGAAGUGCGACGUCUGUCAGCUAUGCCGAUGCAGACACAGGUCAGAAGACCAGCUCCUGGCGUGGCUUCCAGGGCUGUGAGGGCUCUGCUGUGGUCUGAUCCAAGCUGGCAGGAUUCUCUGAUAGGUGUCUGGGUUUUAAGGGGAUGAGAUAGUGGCACUCACUUGGCAGAAAGUUCAAAUCCGUAGAAAGAGCCGUAUUUUGCUGCCCGGAGAGUUGGGACAGGCUUUGUAGAACCUUUACUUUCCUUUGACUUAGGCGUCCUUGUCUUUGUUUUUUUAUCCCUUUUUUCCCUCCAGCUGGAGUUCUAGUUUUUGCUUUGGACUGUAUUUGGGGUGGUUGGAAAAGGUUGAACCCUGGGUGAAUAAUCCUCAGAAUGUUUAGUACCUUGGCACUCCUAAUUGGGCGAGCUUUUCUUGGUAACUUUCAUCAGCAAUACCCUGAUAUUCCACUCAGAUUCCAAGAGAGGGCGGUUCUGUUCCCCCAAGGUCUGGGCAUCUCAUUUUCACGCAGCUAAAUCCAAAAGUCCCAAAUAUCAUGGGACUGGGCUCUGUUGCCGGCAGGACGCCCACCUUCGGGAGUCAGGAGGGGACAGUUGUGUCAGUAUGUGCCGAGCUUUGCUUCGGAGACCAGAACCUGCAGGUCGUAUUCCCACAGGGCUCCGAAGCCUCCGCCUAGACUUGACUCUGCGCCAGGGGAAUACAACCCACUUUUUUCCCUGAGGGAAUUUAGUGUUUCUUUCUGGAGCCACAUUUUCUCUGGUGCUCUGACUCUUACAUCUGUCUCCAGCCCGGGCUACGCCCAACACAUUGCUGCCACAUUUCCAGAAAGAAUUGCGUGUGUCUGAGAACAUCCAUGAGGCUGAGCGCCACGCGCCGUGCGUGGCCGCCCCCGUCGCUAGAAGGGUGCGCUCUGGGCAGCCCUGGCUGCAGCUCGCGGCCUCAUCAAACACAGACCCAAGGACUUCUGCCCCUAGAGCUGGUCCCCAGCUACUUUAUUUUAUUUUAUUCUUACGGCCACACCUGCAGCGUAUCGAAGUUCCCAGGCUAGGGGUCCAGUCAGAGCUACAGCUGCCGCCUACACCACAGCCACAGCAAUGCAGGAUCCGAGCCACGUCUACGACCUCCACCACAGCUCCCGGCAACGCCAGAUCCUUAACCCACUGAGCGAGGCCAGGGAUCGAACCUACAUCCUCAUGGAUACCAGUCAGGUUCUUAACCCACUGAGCCGCCAUGGGAGCUCCCUAACCAUUUUAUAUUAACUAAGUUCUAGAAGAAACUUGCACAGAAGUUGAGGGGUCGGGGACACAGGUCGUGUGGGUGGGUGUUGUCUCCCAGGAGCCCACAGUAAGUGGCUGGGACUCGCUCUCCACACUGAACGAGAGGCGGUGAGGCGCCAUGAGCAGCACCCUGUUCCCUGGCUCUGCAGCGUUUCUGAGCACAAAGGCUCCCCUCCGCCUCGAGGGCAGUGACGCACACCAGCCGUUAGACUGUGCCGGACGGCUGGCCCUCUGGAAGGUCGUGGAGGUUGUGGGCUGUUUCUCCCACACCGAAAGCGGGGAUCUGCUUGGCCCUUGGAAUGCCGUCUGAGUUCGUAUAGCCCUUCCCUGCCACCUCCCUUUCCCUCACCGCGCCGUCUCCCAGCUUGUCCCCGUCCGUCUUCGGUGCCUGUAGAAACCUUCAGGGCUUGCUAGAAUCUUCUGCAUAUUCUUUAUACAGGUCCUGAUGGAGGAAUGUUCUAAUGGUUUCACAGACCCGUGGUGUCCAUUUUGGCUGCUUAGGAAUCCCCCGCACUUUCCCCAUUCUUGGCUGGAUGGCAGACCAGAGAUUCCACAGGGGUGCUGAAGAGCCAGCAAAGAUGGGAACGAGCGGCCCUGUUUCCCCUCCCCACCCCCACCCUUGGCCAGAUUGCGAAUCUGCCGGCAGUCGGGUUUGCAAAAAAGAUCACGUGAGUGAGAGAGUUUCAAAACCAUGUUCUAGAUGAAUGAGGUUAUUCCACAGUUAAACUCCUUACAGGUGAGCAAGCCGAUCAAGUUCAUGAAGACGUGAGCAGCUCGGGUCUUGACAUUGUCCACUGACAGAUGGACUGUCUGUUGGUACAACUAUAUCGACACAGUACCACCCAAACCGCACGACUCGUUAGACAAAGGGAGAUGGGUGAAGAUGAAGGGUUACAGACUGUUACUAGCUGAUCUUUGAAAAAAAAAAACAAAACCUGGGGUUGGCUCGUCUUCGGGGGUUCUGCUGAAUGAGCUCCCCCUUAAUAUUAAGCCCCUAUGAAUUUCAAGGCAAAUUUAAUCCAUAUGUUUCUGAUUCAAUUACUCUUAACUCAUUAAAUGUUUUUUAAAAGCUAUUUGAAAUUUGAGAAGCCUUUUUAUGAGCUUUAGUAAUCCUUUGUUCUUUGAAUUAGGAAGGAGAAUUUUGCCAAGAGUUAAUGGUACUUGAAGCUCAGCAUGCUGAAGGGGAUUCUAAACUAGCAAAAGGUCCAGUUUGCUGUCAUAGUCACAGGAUCUCGAAAUCUCUGCCACUUGCUGCUCCGUCCACUUGUCUGACGAUGCCGAGCUCUUUCUUUGACACGUGGCGGGGACCUCGUUGUGCACAAUAGCUAAGCUGCUGGAGAAGGGAACGCCUUUGAGUGGGUGCAUAUUCAGGUUAUCGCCCGUUUGGGGGAAGCUGGUCAAGUUCAAGUGGAACAUUCUGAGAAGCACCACUUCUUUCUUCCUUCGCUUCUGCUGUCACAGGUCAGAACAGAUCGCUGACGUUACCCCCAGGCGGCUCUCAAACAGCGGUCGGGGGAGGGCAGUGAGACGUUCUGUAACGUCAGAGACACUCAGCACUCAAACAUGGCAUCUGCAGAAUUCCUCGGCGUUGAACAGAGCUGAAAAGAAAGGCACAGCGCAGAGAACACAGCUUAUGGUCUAGAAACAGGAGACGGGCUUCUCCAAAGCAGCGGAAGACCUUCUAGGCCCCCGCUGCUGUGAAGAAAUGUUCUUUCUGCUGACGAGUGGGAAGAUUGUUGUCUGUUCACUUUCUGUUUGUUUGUUCUAAUAAGUUGAAUUGUGAAAACUAUUUCUGGAAAGAUAAACGUCAUUCAGACACACGGAAGCCACCAUUGAAAACCAUGGGGCUUGAGUGUGGAAUUCGAAGCUGCUGUGUAGCAAAGCCUCCCUGGCAGACAGAGGUAGGAUGGCUUGUUUGGAUCUAAGGUUUGGCUUGUUUGGAUCUAAGGUUUCAAACAGCUCUUGGGAGAGAGGAACAGAAAAGGCAGCAGUGGUGAUUAAGCCGCAGCAAUGGCUACAUACCGUCUCCGAACCCCAGGACCGUUCUUGCAGCAUGUGGCAGAAGCACCCAGGCGUCCCUGCCACCCGAAGCACCUUCCCAGGUAGAAGAGUGUAUAAUACAGGUGCACGUGCGUUGUACCUGCCGCAGGGUCUGGAGCAAGGAGCCCAGCUGCAGGGAUCCAGAACUAUUUUACUGCUGCUCUUUGGGAAGGUUCAUCUGUAGAUGGAGAGCUGGAAAGAUCCCUGCAGCCACUAAGGUUCCUACAGAAGCAGCACAGGGUGACACCAGAGAGUGGGGCUCCAAAACCGUAGAACUAAACUCAAAGCAGACGACCUCUUAGCUCCGUUGGCUUCCUGGUAAACUUAACACAGCGUCUGGUGCAUUGGCAGUGCGUUUUUCAAACUCUCCUGGCAAUUGUAGAAGAAGGUCAAGGAUGGCUUUCGAGUGAAGGUCACCCUUGUCUGUGCAGCACAAGCAUCCACUUAGAACUAUGGCUUCUAAAAUGUCCUAGACAAAUUAAACUUCGGGUAGGCGUGGGAAAAGGUUUUGCUUAAAUUUCGCAAAGCCUCGCAUGCCCUGAAAUCAACUCAUAAUUAAAUUUCAUCAGUGCCUCUACAGUCACAUUCUGAUUAAUGUCUUGGUGACAAGAGUUUCUAUGAGAAUGUGACCAUCUGUCUGCUAAGUUCAACCUAUAGGGACCCACACAAUUUCUUACUUCCAAGCCCUGCAAUAUUGGAUGAAAAAAGUAGGCCUGAAGAUCUUUGAAAUGAAUAAAAAGUAGACUCAGAAGUGGGGCAUUUACAGAGGCAGAAAUUAUUUUUAAAGAGAAAAAAACUAUAAUGGAAAAAAUAAAAAUCAUUAAAAUAAAUAGGAAAAAAGAUAUCUGGCACAUAUUGAAAACUUCUUGUGAGCCCUGUAAAUUAUAUGUGCUAGGAAGUAACUUUGCGAAACAUCUAUCAGCAAUUUUGCUUCUUCCAGCUGUUGUGCAGUCUGAGCCCGAAACACACACUCACAGCAGCUGCCCAGCCGCGCCACCUGAGCCUGGACGUGCCCACCGUCAGCCCGGGGUGGGGGCGCAGCAGAGACAACCCGUCUGGCCAAGGAAGCAGACGCAGAACGCUUCCAAAACCAAACAAAAGCUAUGUUUAUUUUUUUU